GACAGAGGGGGCAAGCGUUGUCCGGACUGACUGGGCGUAAAGCGCCCGCAGGUGGUCGCGCAAGUGGGGUGUGAAAGCUCUCGGCUUAACUGAGAGAGGCCAUCUCAGACUGCGCGACUGGAGCCGUGCAGAGGCCCGUGGAAUUGCCGGUGUAGUGGUGAAAUGCGUAGAGAUCGGCAGGAACACCCAGGGGGAAACCAGCGGGCUGGGCACGUGCUGACACUGAAGGGCGAAAGCGUGGGGAGCGAACCGG
rnacentral:rRNA from 1 species